CUGCAUCCACUGAUAGACCUUGAACAAUCUGCAGUUGUUCCUUUGGUUUGCACUAGGAUGCAAAAGCAACAUCCCCGCGCUUUCUGUCUGUCCGUGUGUGUGGCAGCUCGGAUUGAAUAGGGGAGUACAUCU
ensembl:snoRNA